GCGUCGCUGCUAGUCUCCGGCGGAGACUAGCGCUCUGGAGUUUGAGGUGCCGGGCGGCCACGAGGUGCGGGGAUCCUGCGUCCAAACGCGUCUGCAAGUCGAGAUGUCGCAUCUGUCCCCCCAAGUCAAGCCCUCCAACCCCAGUAACCCUCGAGUCUUCUUUGACGUGGACAUAGGAGGGGAGCGAGUUGGUCGAAUUGUCUUAGAAUUGUUUGCAGAUAUUGUACCCAAAACUGCGGAAAAUUUUCGUGCACUGUGUACAGGAGAAAAAGGCAUUGGACCCACGACUGGGAAACCUCUCCAUUUCAAAGGAUGCCCUUUUCAUCGAAUUAUUAAGAAAUUUAUGAUUCAGGGUGGAGACUUCUCAAAUCAGAAUGGGACAGGUGGAGAAAGUAUUUAUGGUGAAAAAUUUGAAGAUGAAAAUUUCCACUAUAAGCAUGAUCGGGAGGGUUUACUGAGCAUGGCAAACGCAGGCCGCAACACAAAUGGUUCUCAGUUUUUUAUCACAACAGUUCCAACUCCUCAUUUGGAUGGGAAACAUGUGGUGUUUGGCCAAGUAAUUAAAGGAAUAGGAGUGACAAGGAUAUUGGAAAAUGUGGAAGUGAAAGGUGAAAAACCUGCUAAAUUGUGCAUUAUUGCAGAAUGUGGAGAAUUGAAGGAAGGAGAUGACUGGGGAAUAUUCCCAAAAGAUGGCUCUGGCGACAGUCAUCCAGAUUUCCCUGAGGAUGCAGAUGUAGAUUUAAAAGACGUAGAUAAAAUUUUAUUAAUAACAGAAGACUUAAAAAAUAUUGGAAAUACUUUUUUCAAAUCCCAGAACUGGGAGAUGGCCAUUAAAAAAUAUGCAAAAGUUUUAAGAUACGUGGACAGUUCAAAGGCUGUUAUUGAGACAGCAGAUAGAGCCAAGCUGCAACCUAUAGCUUUAAGCUGUGUACUGAAUAUUGGUGCUUGUAAACUGAAGAUGUCAAAUUGGCAGGGAGCAAUUGACAGUUGUUUGGAGGCUCUUGAAAUAGACCCAUCAAAUACCAAAGCAUUGUACCGCAGAGCUCAAGGAUGGCAAAGAUUAAAAGAAUAUGAUCAAGCAUUGGCUGAUCUUAAGAAAGCACAGGAGAUAGCACCAGAAGAUAAAGCUAUCCAGGCAGAACUGCUGAAAGUCAAACAACAGAUAAAGGCACAGAAAGAUAAAGAGAAGGCAGUAUAUGCAAAAAUGUUUGCUUAGAAAGGAUUCAGUUUUGCUUAUUGUGUGUUGAUUGUGUAAAUGCAAUAAGAAAAUGUAAAGGUUUUUGUCUAUUAAUAUGAUCCCUAAGGUGUUUCUUUUGACACCUUAGUUCCUCAUUGUUUACAGUUUAGGAGUACUGAUAGGGGUUCAUGCUUAAUAAACGUGUCACAAUACAGUCAGUAAAGUGGUUUUGUUUGUUUCUUUGAGAUGGAGUCUUGCUCUGUCACCCAGGCUGGAGUGCAGUGGCGCGAUCUCAGCUCACUGCAUCCUCUGCCUCCCGGGUUCAAGUGAUUCUCCUGCCUCAGCUUCCCAAGUAGCUGGGAUUACAAGCAUAUGCCACCACACCCAGCUAAUUUUUGUAUUUUUAGUAGAGACAGGGUUUCACCAUAUUGGUCACGUCACGCUGGUCUUGAACUCCUGACCUCGUGAUCUGCCCCUGCCUUGGCCUCCCAAAGUGCUGGGAUUACAGGUGUGAGCCACUGUGCCCGACCAAGUAAAAUGUUUUUUAAAAUGGUUAUCUGCAUUAUUCAUAAAGGAUAAUGGUGUCCAGUCUUUUUAAACUUGUAAAGACACAUCUUAUUGAAUAAAGAGAUGACAGUUUA